rnacentral:rRNA from 1 species
GACUGAGUGGCGGACGGGUGAGUAACGCGUGGAUAACCUGCCUCACACUGGGGGAUAACAGUUAGAAAUGACUGCUAAUACCGCAUAAGCGCACAGUACCGCAUGGUACAGUGUGAAAAAACUCCGGUGGUGUGAGAUGGAUCCGCGUCUGAUUAGCCAGUUGGCGGGGUACGGCCACCAAAGCGACGAUCAGUAGCCGACCUGAGAGGGUGACCGGCCACAUUGGGACUGAGACACGGCCCAAACUCCUACGGGAGGCAGCAGUGGGGAAUAUUGCACAAUGGGCGAAAGCCUGAUGCCAGCGACGCCGCGUGAGUGAAGAAGUAUUUCGGUAUGUAAAGCUCUAUCAGCAGGGAAGAAAAUGACGGUACCUGACUAAGAAGCCCCGGCUAACUACGUGCCAGCCGCGGC